GAUGAACGCUGCCCGAAUGCUUAACACAUGCAAGUCUACUUGAAUUUGGGUUUUUUCACUUAGAUUUGGGUGGCGGACGGGUGAGUAACGCGUAAAGAACUUGCCUCACAGCUAGGGACAACAUUUGGAAACGAAUGCUAAUACCUGAUAUUAUGAUUAUAAGGCAUCUUAGAAUUAUGAAAGCUAUAUGCGCUGUGAGAGAGCUUUGCGUCCCAUUAGCUAGUUGGAGAGGUAACGGCUCACCAAGGCGAUGAUGGGUAGCCGGCCUGAGAGGGUGAACGGCCACAAGGGGACUGAGACACGGCCCUUACUCCUACGGGAGGCAGCAGUGGGGAAUAUUGGACAAUGGACCAAGAGUCUGAUCCAGCAAUUCUGUGUGCACGAUGACGUUUUUCGGAAUGUAAAGUGCUUUCAGUUGGGAAGAAAAAAAUGACGGUACCAACAGAAGAAGUGACGGCUAAAUACGUG
rnacentral:rRNA from 1 species